rnacentral:tRNA from 1 species
GGGGCUAUAGCUCAGUGGUAGAGCAUUUGCCUCCAAUGCAUGAGGCACUGGGUUCCAUCCUCAGCACCA